UACGGGGGGGGCAAGCGUUGUUCGGAAUUACUGGGCGUAAAGGGUUAGUAGGUGGCCAACUAAGUCAGACGUGAAAUCCCUCAGCUUAACUGGGGAACUGCGUCUGAGACUGAUUGGCUCGAGGACAGGAGAGGAACGCGGAAUUCCAGGUGUAGCGGUGGAAUGCGUAGAGAUCCGGAAGAACACCGGUGGCGAAGGCGGCCUGCUGGGCAGUAGCUGACACUGAGGCGCGACAGCGUGGGGAGCAAACAGG
rnacentral:rRNA from 1 species